GAGGUAACGGGUGGAUCCGCAAAGUCGGCCCGCGGAAUUCAGCGCGGCGCGCGGCCUGGGGCUGCUGCGGUUCGGGAUCCCUGGGACCCGGCCGCGGUGCCGCGCCGGGCUCCGCCGCGUGCACUUUCCGCGGGCAGAGCGCCACAACCGGUUCCUAGGAGGCGGCCAGAAGCCGGGCGGGAAGGUAGGUGAGGGGCGGCAACCCCGUCUCACACUGUUACAGCCCGCCCUGGCGGGCCGCCCGGGGACCGAGGGACUACCGCGCGCUUCGAGGCUACCCGGCCUUCCGGGGGAGUUCGACUGGGAGAGACUGGGCAACCGUGUCUCCCGACCGCUCUCUCGCGACCGGAUCGGGCUAGCCGGGCGCGCUCCGUGGGUUGGUGGCGAGUCUGUCGGCAUUCCACCCGACCCGUCUUGAAACACGGACCAAGGAGUCUAACAUGCGCGCGAGUCAUUGGGCUGUACGAAACCCAAAGGCGCAGUGAAAGCGAGGGUCGCCUCGGGCUGACCCAGGUGGGAUCUCUCUGGUCCUCGGGCCGGGGAGCGCACCACCGGCCCGUCCCGUCUGCGUCGGCAGUGGGGCGGAGCAGGAGCGUGCACGCUGGGACCCGAAAGAUGGUGAACUAUGCCUGAGUAGAACGAAGCCAGAGGAAACUCUGGUGGAAGUUC
rnacentral:rRNA from 1 species